AGUGUCGAGGAAUUAAAACGUGGAUUCUAUUCGAGCGUUUACCAUUAGACCGCGAGAGCAACGUACUGGCUCGGACUACGAAAGCGCUAUUAAAAAAAUUGGGAAUCGCAGAAGAAACGGGAAAAGGAAGGCGACAGAGACGAUCGAACAACGGCUCACAGAUAAAUUUACGAUUAAAACAACAGAGUUUACGAUAUAGGAAUAAAACUAAAACGAGCGCGUCUCCAAGAUCCAUCGACUAGAGAGCGUGACUAAAAAUUUAAUAGGGGCCUGAAAAUAAAAUCGUUGUUACCACA